rnacentral:rRNA from 1 species
UACAGAGGUCUCAAGCGUUGUUCGGAAUCACUGGGCGUAAAGGGUGCGUAGGCCGCACGGUAAGUCAGAUGUGAAAGCCCGGAGCUCAACUCCGGAACUGCAUCCGAUACUGCCGUGCUUGAGGACUGGAGAGGAGUCUGGAAUUCACAGUGGAGCAGUGAAAUGCGUAGAUAUUGUGAGGAACACUAGUGGCGAAGGCGAGACUCUGGACAGUUCCUGACGCUGAGGCACGAAGGCCAGGGGAGCGAACAGG